GAGGGAAUCUUCCGCAAUGGGCGAAAGCUUGACGGAGCAACGCCGCGUGAGUGAUGAAGGUCUUCGGAUCGUAAAACUCUGUUAUUAGGGAAGAACAAAUGUGUAAGUAACUAUGCACGUCUUGACGGUACCUAAUCAGAAAGCCACGGCUAACUACGUGCCAGCAGCCGCGGUAAUACGUAGGUGGCAAGCGUUAUCCGGAAUUAUUGGGCGUAAAGCGCGCGUAGGCGGUUUUUUAAGUCUGAUGUGAAAGCCCACGGCUCAACCGUGGAGGGUCAUUGGAAACUGGAAAACUUGAGUGCAGAAGAGGAAAGUGGAAUUCCAUGUGUAGCGGUGAAAUGCGCAGAGAUAUGGAGGAACACCAGUGGCGAAGGCGACUUUCUGGUCUGUAACUGACGCUGAUGUGCGAAAGCGUGGGGAUCAAACAGG
rnacentral:rRNA from 1 species